rnacentral:ncRNA from 1 species
UUAAUGGAGAGUUUGAUCCUGGCUCAGGACGAACGCUGGCGGCAUGCCUAACACAUGCAAGUCGAACGGACUUUUAGUAUUUAGUUUACUAAAUACUAAAAGUUAGUGGCGGACGGGUGAGUAACGCGUGGGUAACCUGCCCAUAAGUUGGGGAUAACUCCGGGAAACCGGUGCUAAUACCGAAUAAGCUUAAUUUACCGCAUGGUAGAUUAAGUAAAGAUGGCCUCUUUACAAUGCUAUCGCUUAUGGAUGGACCCGCGUCUGAUUAGCUAGUUGGUGAGGUAAUGGCUCACCAAGGC